rnacentral:rRNA from 1 species
AUAACCUUCCGAAAGGAGGGCUAAUACCGCAUGAGACCACGAGGUCGAGAGGCCAUGAGGUCAAAGCCGGCCACUUCACGAAAGCUGGCGCUUGAGGGUGAACCUGCGGCCCAUCAGCUAGUUGGUAGGGUAACGGCCUACCAAGGCAAAGACGGGUAGCUGGUCUGAGAGGAUGAUCAGCCACACUGGAACUGAGACACGGUCCAGACUCCUACGGGAGGCAGCAGUGGGGAAUCUUGCGCAAUGGGCGAAAGCCUGACGCAGCGACGCCGCGUGGGUGAUGAAGGCCUUCGGGUUGUAAAGCCCUGUGGGGAGGAACGAACCGUACGGGGGCGAACACCCUCCGUACCUGACGGUACCUCCUUAGCAAGCAUCGGCUAACUCUGUG